ensembl:lncRNA
AGAAAAGCCAGGUGUAGUUGAUCAUCCGAAGAGAAAUCCAGAAGAUAAAAACUAUAAUUAUUUGGAUCCUAAGGGUAGUUCGCGGGAGGUUGUGAUCAUUUAUAUUUUCAGAAGUCUGCCCUUCAUCUGUCUGUUGGCGGCGUUCUUUUACCUAAACAGGAACAACAAACUAGUCUCAUCAUCAAGACCAGCAGUUGAGCAUGCUGUAAAGUUGGGAGAAGGACCAGAUGAAGACCUGGAGGUUGGAGAGACACAGAGGAAUGAAACUGAAGAGGUGAAACAGGGUGAGAAUAUUUCAGAACAGGAGAAAGGGAGGGUCAACAAUGAGAAACCUGAAGUUACUGUUGCAACAGAAGAAGAAACAGAUGAAGAAAAACCGACUGCUGUAGUUGUGAGCAUUGAACAAGGUGCAUCUCCAGUGCAUGACAACGAAAACAAGACCAUUUCUGUUCUGAACACUGAUGAAAAGACACUUCAAAGUGUUGAAGAAGGGACUGUUUCUGUGCUGGGCGACUUAGUUUCAGCUCUGUGAGAUGCAGGAAAUGGAGUUAUGGGUGUGCUGUUCAGGUCGAUGAUGUCACUUCCUGAAUGAUAGCUUGUUUGCAGACUCGUAAUGGUUUGCAAUGACUUUUACUGAAUUCUGAAAGUAAAUGAAAUAAAAUAUGUUCAUGCAUGA